GACGAACGCUGGCGGCGCGCUUAACACAUGCAAGUCGAGCGAGAACCAGACCUUCGGGUCUGGGGACAGCGGCGAACGGGUGAGUAACACGUGGGUAAGUCAACCCUCGGUACUGGGAUAGCCCGGGGAAACCCGGAUUAAUACCGGAUGGCCCUUUGGAUCUUCGGAUCUGACGGAAAAGGUAGCUUCGGCCUCCGACCGAGGACGAGCCCGCGGCGGAUUAGCUUGUUGGUGGGGUAACGGCUCACCAAGGCGACGAUCCGUAGCUGGUCUGAGAGGACGAUCAGCCACACUGGGACUGAGACACGGCCCAG
rnacentral:rRNA from 1 species